UAUUUGAGGAGACGUUGGUCAGCUCGUGAUGUCCGGACGAGGCAAACAAAGCGGUAAGGCUCGCGCUAAGGCUAAGACUCGGUCUUCGCGGGCCGGGCUUCAGUUCCCCGUGGGCCGGGUGCACCGCUUGCUCCGCAAGGGCAACUACGCCGAGCGGGUUGGGGCCGGCGCGCCGGUGUACCUGGCGGCGGUGCUGGAGUACCUGACGGCCGAGAUCCUGGAGCUGGCGGGCAACGCGGCCCGCGACAAUAAAAAGACGCGUAUCAUCCCGCGCCACCUGCAGCUGGCCAUCCGCAACGACGAGGAGCUCAACAAGCUGCUGGGCAAAGUCACCAUCGCUCAGGGCGGCGUCUUGCCCAACAUCCAGGCCGUGCUGCUGCCUAAGAAGACCGAGAGCCACCACAAGACCAAAUAAGUAACAAGAUCCAGCAAUCACUUCACUUAUCCAGUCCUGGGUUCCAGUUUUGUACCAUAAUGUGAAGGCUUCAAAGUGAAUAGUUGAGGCCCCAAAAGAGAAGAGAAUGAGGCUUUAAAGAAAACAUGGAAGAGAUAUUCAGUACAGACCAUUUAUGGGCUACAUAUGUAACAUGAAUGCACUUUAGUUUCAGGAGGAAGCUGCAAAGAGAAAAAAUACAAGAACUGUUUAGAACCAACUACACGCAAGAUGGCAGAAGAUUUGACUUCCAGUAGACCUUGAGCCUCAUUAUAUGUUUAUUAGAAUACAUUAGCAUGCUAAAUGACACACCCACCAGCACCUUGACAGUUGAGAGUUACCAUGACAACAAUGGGAAAAGCUCAUACAAGGACUGAAAAGGAGGAUUGCAUCAGUUCUGGGCCUAAACCACACCCGUGUUCUCAGAUAAGUCAUGAAUAUUCCACCCACUCUUUCCAAUUCCCUCCCUUCUACCUCCACUGUCCUAUAUAGGUAUUUGGUGUUUCAUUAUUUGCCUUGGACUAUUUGUGCUAUCUAUUCUGUUCCAUUGGUUUAUCUAUCUCUGCAAAAAUACCACACAUAUUAAUUACUAUCCUUUAAAAUACAACUGACGUUAGAAAAGAAAACACCACUAACAUUCUUUUCUUUUUUAAAAUAAUUUAGUUUGCUAAAGCUCUCUAGUUCUUCCAAGUAUUAGAAUCUGUUGGAAUUUUGAUUGAAAUCUCAUUGUAUAUAUAUAAUUUUAUAUAAUUUUAAAGAAAUUUUGUAUUUUUAUUUUAUAGAACUUUUGCUCUCAUUAAUAUGUUGUAUCACUGCAUUUAUUUAGGUAGUUUUUUAUAUCUUUCCAUAAUAUUUUAUAACUU